UAUAAUACAUGUAUCUCAAAAAGUUUGGUUAAUUACGAAUGGGAGUCUUUUGUCCUCAUGGAUAACAAAUGACAGCAAACAAUUGGUAAACAUUUUAAUGACGAAAGCCAAUUUUUAUGCAAGAGUAUUGGGACAUAACUCUGAAAAUUCAGCUUUAUUUUGGAAAGUACAGUAAAUGUUUUAUUAGUUUAUGUAGCAAGAAAACAAGUAGGGUUUCCCUAUGUUCUUUCUUCCAGAAGCCUUUUAUAAGAUGUGUAUUUUUAUAUUUUAUUCAAUUUAACUUGUAUAUUUAGUUUUCUCAUUUACUAUAGUAAAGCUUUCGCCAUUUACCAUUCUUAUGUUACAUCAAUUUUGCGUUACACUAACUUGUAGUAUAUUUGAUGAAAUAUAUAGCCAAUUCUUAUCUGAUUUAUAUUUUCCCCUGACGGUUGAUUAUUGUCUAUCAAGUAUGAGCUUAGUUCUUCAUUUGUCAAAAUUCAAAUAUGAUGUCAAACUUUCUUGCUUUAAUCUGAACUUCCUAUUCCUGUUCACAAAGGGAGAUCAUGUUUUUUGUCGUUCAUUGGUUGGCAGAUUUUGAUUUUAUUUGAAAACAUAUAUUCUGAACUCAUUAAAUUUGCCCGACCCCUUUUAGACUUAAAUGGUCACCCACUAAUAGGAUGGCAACAGAGAAAAAACGAUUAGACAAAAAAUUAAUAAUUGAGCAACACGAUUGAAAUAACCAGACGUAUUGGCUAACACACAACCUUAUGAUAAAAUAGACAAAAACAAAGAAAAAACAUAUGGUUCAAAUAGUGUGAAAGCUUCUCAAGACAAAUGAGGUUUGAUGUUUUACCACGUUUUUGUAUUUUUUGUUACAACUGAAAUCACAUGUAGGGUAUUUAAAUGGUAAAGUGUCCGCCGCCUGUACUAAAAAAAA
rnacentral:lncRNA from 1 species